GGGGCUGUGGUCUAGCUUGGCAUGAUACGCGCUUGGGGUGCGCGUGAUCCGGGGUUCAAAUCCUCGCAGCCCCA
rnacentral:tRNA from 1 species